rnacentral:rRNA from 1 species
AUUGAACGCUGGCGGCAGGCCUAACACAUGCAAGUCGAGCGGAUGAAGGGAGCUUGUUCUUGGCUUCCGCGGGCGACGGGUGAGUAAUGCCUAGGAAUCUGCCUGGUCGUGGGGGCUAACGUCAGGAAGCGGGCGCUAAUACCGCAUACGUUCUGAGGGUGAACGGGGGGGUUCAUCGGACCUCAAGCUUUUUGAUGUGCCUAGGUCGGAUUAGCUAGUUGGUUGGGUAAGGGCCUACCAAGGCGACGAUCCGUAACUGGUCUGAGAGGAUGAUCAGUCACACUGGAACUGAGACACGGUCCAGACUCCUACGGGAGGCAGCAGUAGGGAAUAUUCGACAAUGGGCGAAAGCCUGAUGCAGCCACGCCGCGUGUGUGAAGAAGGUCUUCGGAUUGUAAAGCACUGUAAGUAGGGAAGAAGGGCAGUAAGUGAAUACCUGGCUGUUUUGACGGUACCAACAGAAUAAGCACCGGCUAACUUCGUG